GCUUACGGCCAUAUCACCCUGAACACGCCCGAUCUCGUCUGAUCUCGGAAUCUAAGCAGGGUCGGUCCUGGUCAGUACUUGGAUUGGAGAUCGCCUGGGAAUACCAGGUGCUGUAAGCU
rnacentral:rRNA from 1 species